rnacentral:lncRNA from 1 species
GGAAACAAGAAUCUUGAAAGUAGCCAGCACGGCAAGAACACCUUCACAUACCCUAGGUGAGAAGAGAAGAGUAACUUAUAAAACACAGCAUCCAGAGCUGCUCUUCGGAGUCUCAUGAAGCAUAAAGUGAAAGGAGAUCCGGUGUCUGUCCAUUGCCAUCCGUUGUUUUCUUCAGGCUCCUCAGGACUGCUGACUGCUGCAGCUAGUGACUUUCUGGGUUUCAGCCUUCUGGACAUCUGGGAGCACAGUGGGGAUGAGCCACAGGAGUCCAUCAUGUUGGUGUGUUUGCCCUAUUUAUAGCCUACCUCCUGCUAAAGAGAGGACUGAAAGCACCUCACAAAACAGUAACAAGAAGAGAUAAAAAUAAACAAGUGGAAAAUUCCCGCAACAGGAGUGUUGAAACUGCACUGGAUGACGAUUUGGACACAGACAGGCAGACAUCUGCAAGU